rnacentral:rRNA from 1 species
GAUGAACGCUAGCUACAGGCCUAACACAUGCACGUCGAGGGACCGGCGCACGGGUGAGUAACACGUAUCCAACAUGCCCUUUACUCGGGGCUCGCCUUUCGAAAGUAAGAUUAAUACCCGAUAUAAAGGCUGGGGAUGCGUUCCAGUAGGUUGUUGGUGAGGUAUCGGAUCGCCAAGCCGUCGAUGGAUAGGGGUUCUGAGAGGAAGGUCCCCCACGUGGGAACUGAGACACGGUCCAAACACCUACGAGAGGCAGGGUUGAGGAAUAUUGGUGAAUGGGGGCUAGCCGGAAGCAGCCAAGUAGCGUGAAGGAUGAAGGCUUAGGGGUCGUAAACUUCUUGUAUAUAAGAAUGUGUAUUGAAUGAAAAAGGAACGGCUAACUCCGGGCCAGCAGCGGCGGUAAUUC